rnacentral:rRNA from 1 species
UACGUAGGGUGCGAGCGUUGUCCGGAAUUAUUGGGCGUAAAGAGCUCGUAGGCGGUCUGUUGCGUCGGCUGUGAAAACCCGGGGCUCAACUCCGGGCCUGCAGCCGAUACGGGCAGACUAGAGUUCGGCAGGGGAGACUGGAAUUCCUGGUGUAGCGGUGAAAUGCGCAGAUAUCAGGAGGAACACCGGUGGCGAAGGCGGGUCUCUGGGCCGAUACUGACGCUGAGGAGCGAAAGCGUGGGGAGCGAACAGG